GAUGAAGAACGCAGCGAAAUGCGAUACGUAAUGUGAAUUGCAGAAUUCAGUGAAUCAUCGAAUCUUUGAACGCAUAUUGCGCUCUUUGGUAUUCCGAAGAGCAUGCUUGUUUGAGUAUCAGUAAACACCUCAAAACUCUUGAUUUUUUUGAGUUUUGGACUUGAGCAAUCCCAACACCAGUCUAUUUCAGAUCGGCGGCGGGUUGCUUGAAAUGCAGGUGCAGCUGGACAUUCUCCUGAGCUAAAAGCAUAUUUAUUUAGUCCCGUCAAACGGAUUAUUACUUUUGCUGCAGCUAAUAUAAAGGGAGUUUGACCGUAUUGGCUGACUGAUGCAGGAUUUCACAAAGGUCGGCAACGAUCCUUGUAAAACUAGAUCUCAAAUCAAGUAAGACUACCCGCUGAACUUAAGCAUAUCAAUAAGCGGAGGA
rnacentral:misc_RNA from 1 species